CACCUGAUCCAGCCAUGCCGCGUGAGUGAUGAAGGCCUUAGGGUCGUAAAGCUCUUUCGCCUGUGAAGAUAAUGACGGUAGCAGGUAAAGAAACCCCGGCUAACUCCGUGCCAGCAGCCGCGGUAAUACGGAGGGGGUUAGCGUUGUUCGGAAUUACUGGGCGUAAAGCGCACGUAGGCGGACUGGAAAGUUGGGGGUGAAAUCCCAGGGCUCAACCCUGGAACUGCCUCCAAAACUAUCAGUCUAGAGUUCGAGAGAGGUGAGUGGAAUUCCGAGUGUAGAGGUGAAAUUCGUAGAUAUUCGGAGGAACACCAGUGGCGAAGGCGGCUCACUGGCUCGAUACUGACGCUGAGGUGCGAAAGUGUGGGGAGCAAACAGGAUUAGAUACCCUGGUAGUCCACACCGUAAACGAUGAAUGCCAGUCGUCGGGUAGCAUGCUAUUCGGUGACACACCUAACGGAUUAAGCAUUCCGCCUGGGGAGUACGGUCGCAAGAUUAAAACUCA
rnacentral:rRNA from 1 species